GGUCCCUUCGUCUAGUGGCCUAGGACAUCAGGUUCUCAUCCUGAAGAUCGCGGGUUCGAAUCCCGCAGGGAUCACCA
rnacentral:tRNA from 1 species